rnacentral:rRNA from 1 species
AACGAACGCUGGCGGCAGGCUUAACACAUGCAAGUCGAACGCCCCGCAAGGGGAGUGGCAGACGGGUGAGUAACGCGUGGGAACAUACCCUUUCCUGCGGAAUAGCUCUGGGAAACUGGAAUUAAUACCGCAUACGCCCUACGGGGGAAAGAUUUAUCGGGGAAGGAUUGGCCCGCGUUGGAUUAGCUAGUUGGUGGGGUAAAGGCCUCCCAAGGCGACGAUCCAUAGCUGGUCUGAGAGGAUGAUCAGCCACAUUGGGACUGAGACACGGCCCAAACUCCUACGGGAGGCAGCGGUGGGGAAUAUUGGACAAUGGGCGCAAGCCUGAUCCAGCCAUGCCGCGUGAGUGAUGAAGGCCUUAGGGUUGUAAAGCUCUUUCACCGAUGAAGAUAAUGACGGUAGUCGGAGAAGAAGCCCCGGCUAACUUCGUGCCAGCCGCCGCAGUAAGAC